AGUGAACGCUGGCGGUAGGCCUAACACAUGCAAGUCGAACGGCAGCACAGUAAGAGCUUGCUCUUACGGGUUGCGAGUGGCGGACGUGUGAGGAAUACAUCGGAAUCUACUUUUUCGUGGGGGAUAACGUAGGUAAACUUACGCUAAUACCGCAUACGACCUACGGGUGAAAGCAGUGGAUCUUCUGAGCUUGCGCGAUUGAAUGAGCCGAUGUCGGAUUAGCUAGUUGGCGGGGUAAAGGCCCACCAAGGCGACGAUCCGUAGCUGGUCUGAGAGGAUGGUAAGCCACACUGGAACUGAGACACGGUCCAGACUACUACGGGAGGCAGCAGUGGGGAAUAGUGGACAAUGGGCGCAAGCCUGAUACAGCCAUACCGAGUGGGUGAAGAAGGCCUUCGGGUUGUAAAGACCUUUUGUUGGGAAAGAAAAGCAGCAGGUUAAUACCCAGCUGUUCUGACGGUAACCAAUGAAUAAGCACCGGCUAACUUCGUG
rnacentral:rRNA from 1 species